CCUACGGGUGGCAGCAGUGGGGAAUAUUGCACAAUGGGCGUAAGCCUGAACCAGCCAAGUCGCGUGAGGGAUGAAGGUUCUAUGGAUCGUAAACCUCUUUUAUAAGGGAAUAAAGUGUGGGACGUGUCCUAUUUUGUAUGUACCUUAUGAAUAAGGAUCGGCUAACUCCGUGCCAGCAGCCGCGGUAAUACGGAGGAUCCGAGCGUUAUCCGGAUUUAUUGGGUUUAAAGGGUGCGUAGGCGGCCUUUUAAGUCAGCGGUGAAAGUCUGUGGCUCAACCAUAGAAUUGCCGUUGAAACUGGGGGGCUUGAGUAUGUUUGAGGCAGGCGGAAUGCGUGGUGUAGCGGUGAAAUGCUUAGAUAUCACGCGGAACCCCGAUUGCGAAGGUAGCCUGCCAAGCCAUGACUGACGCUGAUGCACGAAAGCGUGGGGAUCAAACAGGAUUAGAUACCCCUGUAGUC
rnacentral:rRNA from 1 species